UAACAAAAGCUUUCAGCAGUAUUUAUAUUUGCCUUCUUCCGCCUAAUGUGAUAGUUUGUGAUGAUGGUGUAGGGAGUGGGAGUAUACAUUGCAUCUCUAUGUUUAUUCAUACAUAGACUACACUUGUCUGCCAGAAAAGAAUAGUGUGAACAACUUUACACACUUGCAAAAUGAGGCCUAUUUUAUUUCUAAUAGGUUGGUUAUUCAUCGUUGCUGUAUUUGAAAUCAGUGGAGCACAUUACUUGGAGUGUUUCAGUUGUACUGAUGCUCUGAGUUUACACGAAUGUAAAUUAGUGGAAACAUGCGAGGAACGCCAGGUAAGAUACAA